CUAGUACUCCCUCCGUCCGAAAGUACUUGUCAGAGAAAUAGAUAAAAACAUAUGUACCUAGAACUAAAAUAGGUCUAGAUACAUUCAUUUCUCCGACAAGUAUUUCCGGACGAAGGAAGUAUGUA
rfam:Triticum aestivum genome assembly, contig: Triticum_aestivum_CS42_TGACv1_scaffold_157918_2DL